CAGAGGUCUUGGGAGUGGCAUCUUCUGAGCAUCUUCAGAGCUGCCCCUUCAUGGAGGGGAUCACUUUUCCCUGGAAGUGGAAGGGCGGGCAGAAGACCUCCUAUGGCUCAGAGCACAGAGUCAGAGGAAGCAAAGGCAGGCUUUGCAGGAUGUGUGUGGGUACAUAAUGGCAACCUGAAAGCACAGAGACACGCAGGUAUCCUGAGACCUCCCCCACACCUCCCCAGGAGCCUGUGCAUGAUAUGUUCAUGUUUCUAUCCUCUGCCUGGAGAGUGAUUACUCCAUCUCUCUCUCUGUCCUUCAGGCAGUCACCCAUGCCGGGGCAGCAAACACUGCCCUGCGUCUUCUGCUGAUGCUCUCAAAAGCAGGGUGUGACAAGCCAUGACUCACUUAUCAGCACCAGUCAUGGAAAUCCAGUCACAAUUAUGGAAAGGAGCUAAGGGGGGAGGAGCCUGCCAUCACCUACCCAUCACAUCUCUUCUGAGCACAAAUGAUGUGUGCAGGGCACGGGGCCAUGUCCCUGGUGGAGCUGGACAGACUGGAAGUCAGAAUCCUGGUGAGCUCCUUGCUUUGUCAAUGGUUAAGCUGUGAUACUCUGGCACCCUCUUUCAGAUGCAGACUAACAUUGGUAUAAAGAGAACUUCCCA
rnacentral:lncRNA from 1 species